UGAAUGGGGAUGAGGCUUACACAAACCUCACA
rnacentral:piRNA from 1 species